rnacentral:rRNA from 1 species
GGCUCAUUAAAUCAGUUAUCGUUUAUUUGAUAGUACCUUACUACUUGGAUAACCGUGGUAAUUCUAGAGCUAAUACAUGCUGAAAACCCCAACUUCGGAAGGGGUGUAUAUAUUAGAUAAAAAACCAACGCCCUUCGGGGCUUCUUGGUGAUUCAUGAUAUCUUUACGGAUCGCAUGGCCUUGCGCCGGCGACGGUUCAUUCAAAUUUCUGCCCUAUCAACUUUCGAUGGUAAGGUAUUGGCUUACCAUGGUUUCAACGGGUAACGGGGAAUUAGGGUUCGAUUCCGGAGAGGGAGCCUGAGAAACGGCUACCACAUCCAAGGAAGGCAGCAGGCGCGCAAAUUACCCAAUCCCGACACGGGGAGGUAGUGACAAUAAAUACUGAUACAGGGCUCUUUUGGGUCUUGUAAUUGGAAUGAGUACAAUUUAAACCUCUUAACGAGGAACAAUUGGAGGGCAAGUCUGGUGCCAGCAGCCGCGGUAAUUCCAGCUCCAAUAGCGUAUAUUAAAGUUGUUGCAGUUAAAAAGCUCGUAGUUGAACCUUGGGUCUGGCUGGCAGGUCCGCCUCACCGCGUGUACUUGUCCGGCCGGGCCUUCCUUCUGGAGAACCUCAUGCCCUUCACUGGGCGUGUUGGGGACCAGGACUUUUACUUUGAAAAAAUUAGAGUGUUCAAAGCAGGCCUUUGCUCGAAUACGUUAGCAUGGAAUAAUAGAAUAGGACGUGCGGUCCUAUUUUGUUGGUUUCUAGGACCGCCGUAAUGAUUAAUAGGGACAGUCGGGGGCAUCAGUAUUCAAUUGUCAGAGGUGAAAUUCUUGGAUUUAUUGAAGACUAACUACUGCGAAAGCAUUUGCCAAGGAUGUUUUCAUUAAUCAGUGAACGAAAGUUAGGGGAUCGAAGACGAUCAGAUACCGUCGUAGUCUUAACCGUAAACUAUGCCGACUAGGGAUCGGGCGAUGUUCUUUUUCUGACUCGCUCGGCACCUUACGAGAAAUCAAAG